rnacentral:rRNA from 1 species
UACGUAGGUGGCAAGCGUUGUCCGGAAUAAUUGGGCGUAAAGCGCGCGCAGGUGGUCCUUUAAGUCUGAUGUGAAAGCCCACGGCUCAACCGUGGAGGGUCAUUGGAAACUGGGGGACUUGAGUGCAGGAGAGAAGAGUGGAAUUCCACGUGUAGCGGUGAAAUGCGUAGAGAUGUGGAGGAACACCAGUGGCGAAGGCGACUCUUUGGCCUGUAACUGACACUGAGGCGCGAAAGCGUGGGGAGCAAACAGG